rnacentral:tRNA from 1 species
GGAGAAGCAAGGUGCCCGGUGGCGCCGCUGGUCUUCAAAACCGGUUUGAGGCGAGAUGUUCGUCUCUGGAGGGUUCGACUCCUUCCUUCUCCGCCA